AACGCACCUUGCGCCUCUUGGUAUUCCGAAGGGCAUGCCUGUUCGAGCGUCAUUACACCCCUCAAACUGAACUGUUUGAUGUUGGGCAACGCCUGGAGGCGUGCCUAAAAUUUAGCGAUGGUACAUUAAACCUCAAGCGCACAGAUGUCGUUAUGUGGGCAAGAUGGCACCAGUCUCUUCGUGAAUUUCUGAAUGUUGACCUCGGAUCAGGUAGGGAUACCCGCUGAACUUAA
rnacentral:misc_RNA from 1 species